rnacentral:rRNA from 1 species
CCUACGGGAGGCAGCAGUGAGGAAUAUUGGUCAAUGGACGAGAGUCUGAACCAGCCAAGUCGCGUGAAGGAUGACUGCCCUAUGGUUUGUAAACUUCUUUUAUAUGGGAAUAAAAUGUUCCACGUGUGGAUUUUUGUAUGUACCAUAUGAAUAAGGAUCGGCUAACUCCGUGCCAGCAGCCGCGGUAAUACGGAGGAUCCGAGCGUUAUCCGGAUUUAUUGGGUUUAAAGGGAGCGUAGGUGGAUUGUUAAGUCAGUGGUGAAAGUUUGCGGCUCAACCGUAAAAUUGCAGUUGAAACUGGCAGUCUUGAGUACAGUAGAGGUGGGCGGAAUGCGUGGUGUAGCGGUGAAAUGCUUAGAUAUCACGAAGAACUCCGAUUGCGAAGGCAGCUCACUGGACUGCAACUGACACUGAGGCUCGAAAGUGUGGGGAUCAAACAGGAUUAGAUACCCUGGUAGUC